UGGCUCAGUGGUAGAGUGCUUGCCUCGCAAGCAUGAGGCCCUGGGUUCAAUUUCUCAG
rnacentral:tRNA from 1 species